CCUACGGGAGGCAGCAGUAGGGAAUAUUGCUCAAUGGGGGAAACCCUGAAGCAGCAACGCCGCGGGGAGGAUGAAGGUUUUCGGAGUGUAAACUCCUUGUGGUAGAGAAGAGAAGGACGGUAGCUAACGAAUAAGAACCGGCUAACUCCGGGCCAGCAGCCGCGGUAAUACGGAGGGUGCAAGCGUUACUCGGAAUCACUGGGCGUACAGAGCGCGUAGGCGGGCUAGCAAGUCAGAUGUGAAAUCCUAGGGCUUAACCAUAGAACUGCAUUUGAAACUGGUAUUCUAGAGGAUGGGAGAGGUAGGUGUCAUUCUUGGUGUAGGGGUCAUAUCCGU
rnacentral:rRNA from 1 species